GCUGUGGAACUCCUACGGGAGGCAGCAGUGGGGAAUUUUGGACAAUGGGGGCAACCCUGAUCCAGCAAUGCCGCGUGAGUGAAGAAGGCCCUCGGGUUGUAAAGCACUUUCAGUGAGGAAGAACGCCUGGUGGUUAAUACCCAUCAGGAAAGACAUCACUCACAGAAGAAGCACCGGCUAACUCCGUGCCAGCAGCCGCGGUAAUACGGAGGGUGCGAGCGUUAAUCGGAAUUACUGGGCGUAAAGCGCGCGUAGGUGGCUUGAUAAGCCGGUUGUGAAAGCCCCGGGCUCAACCUGGGAACGGCAUCCGGAACUGUCAAGCUAGAGUGCAGGAGAGGAAGGUAGAAUUCCCGGUGUAGCGGUGAAAUGCGUAGAGAUCGGGAGGAAUACCAGUGGCGAAGGCGGCCUUCUGGGCUGACACUGACACUGAGGUGCGAAAGCGUGGGUAGCAAACAGGAUUAGAUACCCCGGUAGUCCUACCACGU
rnacentral:rRNA from 1 species